UGACUACCAAAAUUACAGUCUGAUGUAUGUCUCAUAUACUUUUAGUAAAAAUUGAAGGUAAAUAUAUAUAGGAAGAUGUGGGUUGAGUGCCAAUGAGACAAAUCUCCAUCUAAGUCACAAUUUAUGGAAGUAAACCAUUAUAAGUCAACGUACGAUCUUCAACACGGAGCAUUGGCUCACACCGAACAACAAGCUAUAAAGGGCCCUAAAUACUUACCAGUGUAAAACCAUUCAAACGGGAAAAACAAACGGUCUAAUCUAUAUAUAUAUAAAAAAA
rnacentral:lncRNA from 1 species